rnacentral:rRNA from 1 species
CCUACGGGGGGCUGCAGUGGGGAAUAUUGCACAAUGGGCGCAAGCCUGAUGCAGCCAUGCCGCGUGUGUGAAGAAGGCCUUCGGGUUGUAAAGCACUUUCAGCGGGGAGGAAGGCGGUGAGGUUAAUAACCUCAUCGAUUGACGUUACCCGCAGAAGAAGCACCGGCUAACUCCGUGCCAGCAGCCGCGGUAAUACGGAGGGUGCAAGCGUUAAUCGGAAUUACUGGGCGUAAAGCGCACGCAGGCGGUCUGUCAAGUCGGAUGAGAAAUCCCCGGGCUCAACCUGGGAACUGCAUUCGAAACUGGCAGGCUAGAGUCUUGUAGAGGGGGGUAGAAUUCCAGGUGUAGCGGUGAAAUGCGUAGAGAUCUGGAGGAAUACCGGUGGCGAAGGCGGCCCCCUGGACAAAGACUGACGCUCAGGUGCGAAAGCGUGGGGAGCAAACAGGAUUAGAUACCCCGGUAGUC